AGCAGCCGCGGUAAUUCCAGCUCCAAUAGCGUAUAUUAAAGUUGUUGCAGUUAAAAAGCUCGUAGUUGAAUUUCGGGAUCAUCAGGUUGGUCGUGCCUCUGGUAUGUACUUUCCUCGAUGGUUCCUCCUUCUUGAAGAACCGUAAUGCCAUUAAUUUGGUGUUGCGGGGAAACAGGACAGUUACUUUGAAAAAAUUAGAGUGUUUAAAGCAGGCAAUCGCUUGAAUACAUUAGCAUGGAAUAAUGAAAUAGGACGUUCGAUCCUAUUUUGUUGGUUUCUAGGAUUGACGUAAUGAUUAAUAGGGAUAGUUGGGGGCAUUAGUAUUCAAUUGUCAGAGGUGAAAUUCUUGGAUUUAU
rnacentral:rRNA from 1 species